ACCAUGCACCGAAGCUGCGGCAGCGACACUAUGUGUUGUUGGGUAGGGGAGCGUUCUGUAAGCCGUUGAAGGUGUCCUGUGAGGGGUGCUGGAGGUAUCAGAAGUGCGAAUGCUGACAUAAGUAACGAUAAAGCGGGUGAAAAGCCCGCUCGCCGGAAGACCAAGGGUUCCUGUCCAACGUUAAUCGGGGCAGGGUGAGUCGACCCCUAAGGCGAGGCCGAAAGGCGUAGUCGAUGGGAAACAGGUUAAUAUUCCUGUACUUGGUGUUACUGCGAAGGGGGGACGGAGAAGGCUAUGUCAGCCGGGCGACGGUUGUCCCGGUUUAAGCAUGUAGGCGGAGGUUCCAGGUAAAUCCGGUACCUUAUUAACGCUGAGGUGUGAUGACGAGGCACUACGGUGCUGAAGUGAUAAAUGCCCUGCUUCCAGGAAAAGCCUCUAAGCAUCAGGUAACACGAAAUCGUACCCCAAACCGACACAGGUGGUCAGGUAGAGAAUACCAAGGCGCUUGAGAGAACUCGGGUGAAGGAACUAGGCAAAAUAGUGC
rnacentral:rRNA from 1 species